GUUGUAUUUCAUUUGAAAUUUAAAAAGUGUCAACAUAUACAAUUGGAAUGUACUGUUACAAUACAUCAGCGGAGAACGAUUUUUUGAUUAAUUUCUGGUCUUGAAAUAUUCGCUAAGAAGAAAUUAAAUAUGGAAGGGCCACAUAAACGAAG